AUUGUGGCACAAUAGAUAGCGUGUUGGACUUCUAAUCCAAAGGUCGUGGGUUCGAAUCCCGUCUGGGAUG